rnacentral:rRNA from 1 species
GGGAUUAGUGGCGAACGGGUGAGUAACACGUGGGCAAUCUGCCCUUCACUCUGGGACAAGCCCUGGAAACGGGGUCUAAUACCGGAUACCACUUCCACUCGCAUGGGUGGGGGUUGAAAGCUCCGGCGGUGAAGGAUGAGCCCGCGGCCUAUCAGCUUGUUGGUGAGGUAAUGGCUCACCAAGGCGACGACGGGUAGCCGGCCUGAGAGGGCGACCGGCCACACUGGGACUGAGACACGGCCCAGACUCCUACGGGAGGCAGCAGUGGGGAAUAUUGCACAAUGGGCGAAAGCCUGAUGCAGCGACGCCGCGUGAGGGAUGACGGCCUUCGGGUUGUAAACCUCUUUCAGCAGGGAAGAAGCGAAAGUGACGGUACCUGCAGAAGAAGCGCCGGCUAACUACGUGCCAGCAGCCGCGGUAAUACGUAGGGCGCGAGCG